GUCAAGACUCACCGUGCCGCUGAGUCAGUGAGGGCUAUAUAUUGUUCGCAGAGAAAACGUAGCGCCCAAACAAGAAACAGAUAAUAAAUUGUAGAAUUUGCGAGAAGAAGACCAGUGGUAAUAUAAACCAAAAAUGGGUUGGGUUUGGAGAGACGACGAGCCUGCUGGUGAAAAUGAAAUUAGCGAAUAUUGGAAAAGCCCUGAUUCAUCCUCUGGGAAGGUUUGCUCCACGAGGAAGGUGGUGAAGUCGCAGUGCAAGACUGAGGAGGUGGAACCUGGAAAGUUCGUUAGGAAGUGCGAGAAAACUGAGGAGAUUCUCAGAGAGUGCCUUGGAGAGUGAGUUUUCUCUCUUUUUCUCUGGAUUAUUGGUGUUUCCUCGAAAAUUUCUUUUUAGCUCUGUCUGUUGAUUCCUGAAAUAGGGGAACAUGUGGGGUUGGGGUAGUUGAAAUAUGAAUUUGGAGUAUAUUAGUGAGCGGAAAGUACCGAUUUGUAACUUUUGUGGUUAUUUGAUCUUCAUUUUGGACGAUUAUGCAUUGCUUUGGGUUUCUUGGAUUCUCGGUUUAUUUCUGAUUCCGCACUUUUUUUUCUUCGUUGGGGGGGUGGGGGGUGGUGGUGUGUUCAAUUUUUUGUGGUUAUGGGCAAAUGGAGGAGAAUUACUUGUGUUUAGUUUUAUUUAAUUGUGCAUUUAAUUCUUCUCUCGGUGUUUAUGUUUGUAUGUGAGAAUGUGGUAUUCUAGGGAGGGGAUUGGCUAUAAUUCUGUUAAAUCUGUGAUAUUGAGAACCUCUGGAAGUUUUGGGGGAAAAGUUCCUUUUUGAUAGAUAAACACGUAAUAACAACUACCUGAAACCUCGAGCAGAAAGAAUUCUGUGAUAGAUAAAUUUCAACUUUUCAGGUAUGCUUGUUGUAAUAAUAUGAGGCAUCCAUCUGAUUCCUAAGGGAAACUAUGUAUUAUUUGGAUGUCUGCUUGUUCUGAUUUUCUAUGAUGACAUGAGGAGCAUUUAGUGUGUGUUUUCCCCCUUCAUGUGGAUAUCUGCUUCUACCAUUGAGCAGUGUCCAUUAUUUUUGGCAGUUAUAAGGUUUUUAAUUAUCUAGUCUUUGAUCUUCGUUUGUCCUUUUUUUCUUCUCUCUUGCUCUUUUUAGUGCAUAUUUGUAUGCCUCUCAUGUACUUGGAUUUUAUUAUCUUUAAUAUCUUCAUUUAGCUCAGAUACAAUGUGCAAUACUCGUUUCAUAUGAUUAUGAGGUCAAACUAAAGAUCUUUUGGCAGGCAAAAAGUUAUGUUUGUGUCUGUCUCUCAGUUUAUUCUAGAGAACUAGAGAAGUAGAAGAUCAAAGAAAUAAUUGCUGAAGUUGAUAGCUUUCAUUUUUUUGGCUGAUCAAUGCAUGGAUGAUUGGGAAGUGCUUUAUUUGGCUGGUUGAAAGUCUGAGGAUUCAUCUUACAUAAUUGCUUUGAGUUCAAGGAUGUUCAGCAUUUUGAGUGGUGAACUGGAAAUUUAAAAUUCAGGAUGCAUUUAUGAGAUCGACAUACGACUAUGAUUGAGAAAUAUUCAGAUUUUGAAGGUAAUACAGACAAAACGAUUGUGGGCUAGGUGUGAACAAGUAUAUGGUUUACUGAUUAAAUAUGGAACUAAUCACUAUGAUUGACUAAAAUGACACUAGGCUUCAAAUGGUUGGGGUUUUUCUCUAUUGAAUUAACUUAAAGCUUACAGUUUGUCAAAUUUGGAGUACACUUGAAAUUUGAACAGACUAACUAGAGUGAGCUUCUUUUGAAUAUUUUUUUUAAGUGGUAAAUUACAGCUCUUCCCAAAUGAGGUAAAACUAUUAUGUUUAAGGAUUUGAUGCUUGACCUUUGUUUCAUGUCUUUGAUUAUAGCUUGAUGUUUAUUGUUGCAACAUGAAUUUCUGUAUCUUCAUAUCAUCAUUUUCAGUUGGCCUUCUUCCUCCAGUGAAGUUUUGCUUGUUAGUUUAUUGACCCACUCCCAAAGCAUUUCCAGGCUGUGUAAUACAUUAAUUUGGCGAGGGGAUUCUGAAAUCAUCAUUGCUGAUUAUAAUACUAUUGCCUGCAUUAUUGGGGUAAUGGUGAAAUGUGUGGGCUUGUCAUAAAGAGUUCUUGUGGGAGUGGGUUCAUGACCCUAUUCAGUGUUACUCAUGCCUCAUUGUCGAACUCUCAUACAUUUGCAUAUGCAUAGCAAUUGAGAGGAGUUUUACUAGCAAGUAUAUCUUUAUUCAAGCCCUUAAUCAACAGCUUAAUUUUGUGUUUUUAACAAAUUUUGAGUUUUCUCUAAAUACUGAGUGUGCAAGAGUUCUCUCCCUUUGCUACUUAGUUUCAUUGUUUAUUUAUUGUUUGCUUCAAUUAGGCCUGUCAAGGUCCUGAAGUCCAACAAGGAGUAUACUGAAGACGAUGUCACAGACGUGGUGGUUAAAGGGUCUUCCUCAGUAGGCCAAUUUGAUAGCUCGCCAUUUGGCUUACCAGGUCUUCGAAGUGAUAUUGAAGGCAUUGAGCGCCAAUUCCUCGGUGGCAUCAAUCGAUUUUUUGAAGCAGCUGAACAGAUUAAGGGUAGCUUUUUCGAUGUUUUUGGGGACUUGCAUAAGGAGAAUCCAUCAUGCCCUCCAUCUAUGAGGCGAGGGAUACCUAUUGAUGACUAUCCCCAAAAAAGAGAGGCUUCUCCUAAACAAAGGGAGCCUGAUGCUGGUGAUGUUGAUCUUGCUGGUUUGGCCAGAGAUGUCUGAAUUAUUCUGUUAAUAAUCUAGUCGAGUAGACAAUUUCCCCUUUUAUAUGACUAGCGAAAUAUAGACUACCAAACUGCAGUUUUUGCACUGGAAUGUAAAGCCGGUUCUUGGAUGAGACUACGAAGUUGAUUCUCAUUGCUAAGUUGAAAUCAAGGAUUUGUAUUGAUAAUUCUAUUUAAUGGUGUUUUUAUUGUGUGUCAAGAGUCUUAAGAAACAUCCUGUAAUUAGGUAUAUCUCUAUCAUUUGCAUGUUUUCUGAAGUAUGGAUAUAUUUAUUUUCAAAGCACAUGGAAGAGAAUACAUGUAAUUCAGCUGAUCCAAAUAAUUUGAAGCACUCAGCUCAAAAUGAUUAAUCCAAGCUAUUUAAUAGUACAUACCAGUGCGCUGGGUGGGAUAUUACACAAAUGAGUAACAGAAAUGUGAAAUGGCAAGAAGAGAAGUAUAGUCCUAUGAUUUCUACAGAAUUCAUUCUUCACCAACCGCAGACUUUAUAUUGGAAACAAAAGCCAACUAUGCCGCUUCAACCUGGCCGCAACUGUGUUUCUCAGUACUCAUGGUCUGCCGCAUUUGGAUGUUGAAUAUAUUCUAUUU
rnacentral:misc_RNA from 1 species